rnacentral:tmRNA from 1 species
GGGGCUGUCACGGUUUCGACGUUUUGGCGAACGUUAUUUCGCGAUGCAGGUCGAGAGCGGGCUAACUCUCGCAAAUCAAUGGCUCAAAACACGUACAUGCGAACAACAUCGUACCCUUUGCUCGUAAAGCAGCUGCGGUUGCCUAAAAACCUCUUAUAGGUUCGAGCGUCUACAGUCCGACUCCGUUAAGAGUGUAGACCAACCCCAACGGAUGCUCGAGUUUGGUUCCUCUAGUUAAAAACUCGCUAAGACUCAAUUAGAGAAUCCCCCGUCUGGGACAAUAGACGGCUCCCGCUUAGAGGACUAGAUAAGCUAAACCUGUGAAUGAUCGGAAUAUUAAUACCCAGGGCGGACACGGGUUCGACUCCCGUCAGCUCCAUCC